rnacentral:rRNA from 1 species
GACGAACGCGGCGGCGUGCCUAAUACAUGCAAGUAGAACGCUGAAGGAAGGAGCUUGCUCUUUCCGGAUGAGUUGCGAACGGGUGAGUAACGCGUAGGUAACCUGCCUGGUAGCGGGGGAUAACUAUUGGAAACGAUAGCUAAUACCGCAUAAUAGCAGUUAUUGCAUGAUAACUGUUUGAAAGGUGCAAAUGCAUCACUACCAGAUGGACCUGCGUUGUAUUAGCUAGUUGGUGGGGUAACGGCUCACCAAGGCGACGAUACAUAGCCGACCUGAGAGGGUGAUCGGCCACACUGGGACCGAGACACGGCCCAGACUCCUACGGGAGGCAGCAGUAGGGAAUCUUCGGCAAUGGACGGAAGUCUGACCGAGCAACGCCGCGUGAGUGAAGAAGGUUUUCGGAUCGUAAAGCUCUGUUGUAAGAGAAGAACGAGUGUGAGAGUGGAAAGUUCACACUGUGACGUAUCUACCAGAAA